rnacentral:rRNA from 1 species
GUGAGUAAAGCGGCGCACGGGUGCGUAACACGUGGGUAAUCUGCCCUAGAGUCCGGAAUAACUCGCCGAAAGGCGUGCUAAUGCCGGAUGAGACCACGGGAGCUUCGGUUCCUGCGGGAAAAGGUGGCCUCUGUACACAAGCUAUCGCUCUGGGAUGAGCCCGCGGCCCAUCAGCUCGUUGGCGGGGUAACGGCCCACCAAGGCAACGACGGGUAGCUGGUCUGAGAGGACGAUCAGCCACACUGGAACUGAGACACGGUCCAGACUCCUACGGGAGGCAGCAGUGGGGAAUCUUGCGCAAUGGGCGAAAGCCUGACGCAGCAACGCCGCGUGUGUGAUGAAGGUCUUCGGAUCGUAAAGCACUGUCGCGAGGGACGAAUAAGGGACGGGCGAACAGUCCGUUCCGAUGACGGUACCUCGAGAGGAAGCACCGGCUAACUCUGUGCCAGCAGCCGCGGUAAUACAGAGGGUGCAAGCGUUGUUCGGAAUUAUUG